UGGGGAAUAUUGCACAAUGGACGAAAGUCUGAUGCAGCGACGCCGCGUGGAGGAAGAAGGUCUUCGGAUUGUAAACUCCUGUUAAAUGGGAAGAAAGGCUCUUGGCUAAAACCUGAGAGAGAUGACGGUACUAUUAGAGAAAGCUCCGGCAAACUUCGUGCCAGCAGCCGCGGUAAUACGAAGGGAGCGAGUGUUAUUCGGAAUUAUUGGGCGUAAAGGGUGUGUAGGUGGUUUAUUAAGUUAGUUGUUAAAAUUCACUGCUUAACGGUGAGAAUGCAAUUGAUACUGAUGAGCUAGAGGGUGGAAGAGAGAAGUGGAAUUCUUGGAGUAGCGGUUAAAUGCGUAGAUCUCAAGAGGAACACCGAUGGCGAAGGCAGCUUUUUGGUCCAUACCUGACACUGAAACACGAAAGCGUGGGGAGCAAACAGG
rnacentral:rRNA from 1 species